UGAUGUCGCAAAUAUUCGUCAAAAUUGGUGAAAAGUAUUUCUUAAAUAGCGUUUUUUUUUAAUUUAAAGUUGAAGUCGUUAUUAAAUGUUGAGAAAUAGUGACGUGAAAGUCGUAGUGCGUUAAAUUCCUUGAAAUUGUGAAUAUAUGGUGCAAAUUCCUUGAGUGCGUGUUCGGGUUUAUUCGUGGGUGUGUAUAUGAGAGUGUGUAUGAAUGUAACAAGUGCGUUUAUAUUUUAUACGGUUCUCGGUUCGGUUACGUCGCGUGUGUCGGGUAUUAAGUGUAAUAGUGUUCUUAUAAAAAAAAAGCGCGUCGUGUAAUAUGUAAUACUUGUAUGUAGCCAAGGAGUGAGUAAAAGGACUUCAUCUUCAUCCUUCUCAAGCUUAUACAAGUGGGAAAAGUGCGCACAGCAAAGAAUGGCGAAUGCGGAAAAAGCGCAAUGAAAAAGAUGCGGCAUGUACUCAUCGUUUCCGGUGUGCGAGUGGAAAUGCUUGAAUGCUGUUAAGCGUUGAGAGAGUUUGCAUUCUAAAUAUAGGAGUCAUGAUCAUCUACAAAGCUUCACAUGUCAAUACACCUUAGGCGUGUCUCUCAUAAAUCUCAUAAAUCACUCAUCUGAACCCAACAAAUUUUAAUUUUUGAAUUUCGGACAAAACUCACAAGAAGUAAUGUAAUAUUGCAUU